rnacentral:rRNA from 1 species
UCACUUUCAACAACGGAUCUCUUGGCUCUCGCAUCGAUGAAGAACGCAGCGAAAUGCGAUAAGUAGUGUGAAUUGCAGAGAUUGUGAAUCAUCGAAUCUUUGAACGCAAAUUGCACUCUCUGGUAUUCCGGGGAGUAUGCCUGUUUGAGGGUCGUU